rnacentral:rRNA from 1 species
AACGAACGCUGGCGGCAGGCCUAACACAUGCAAGUCGAGCGGGGGAGCAAUCCCUAGCGGCGGACGGGUUAGUAACGCGUGGGAACAUACCCUUUGGUACGGAAUAGCCUCGGGAAACUGAGAGUAAUACCGUAUGUGCCCUUCGGGGGAAAGAUUUAUCGCCAAAGGAUUGGCCCGCGUUGGAUUAGGUAGUUGGUGGGGUAAUGGCCUACCAAGCCUACGAUCCAUAGCUGGUUUGAGAGGAUGAUCAGCAACACUGGGACUGAGACACGGCCCAGACUCCUACGGGAGGCAGCAGUGGGGAAUCUUAGACAAUGGGCGCAAGCCUGAUCUAGCCAUGCCGCGUGAGCGAUGAAGGCCUUAGGGUUGUAAAGCUCUUUCAGAUGGGAAGAUAAUGACGGUACCAUCAGAAGAAGCCCCGGCUAACUCCGUGCCAGCAGCCGCGGU